rnacentral:rRNA from 1 species
GAGUGGGGGAUAACGUAGCGAAAGUUACCCUAAUACCGCAUACGAUCUAAGGAUGAAAGUGGGGGAUCCGCAAGGACCUCAUGCUCGUGGAGCGGCCGAUAUCUGAUUAGCUAGUUGGUAGGGUAAAAGCCUACCAAGGCAUCGAUCAGUAGCUGGUCUGAGAGGACGACCAGCCACACUGGAACUGAGACACGGUCCAGACUCCUACGGGAGGCAGCAGUGGGGAAUUUUGGACAAUGGGCGCAAGCCUGAUCCAGCAAUGCCGCGUGAGUGAAGAAGGCCUUCGGGUUGUAAAGCUCUUUUGUCAGGGAAGAAACGGUGUUUUCUAAUACAGAGCACUAAUGACGGUACCUGAAGAAUAAGCACCGGCUAACUACGUGCCAGCAGCCGCGGUAAUACGUAGGGUGCAAGCGUUAAUCGGAAUUACUGGGCGUAAAGCGUGUGCAGGCGGUUUUGUAAGUCUGUCGUGAAAUCCCCGGGCUCAACCUGGGAAUGGCGAUGGAGACUGCAAGGCUAGAAUCUGGCAGAGGGGGGUAGAAUUCCACGUGUAGCAGUGAAAUGCGUAGAGAUGUGGAGGAACACCGAUGGCGAAGGCAGCCCCCUGGGUCAAGAUUGACGCUCAUGCACGAAAGCG